CGACUAUUAUUGCAAAUAUCGCAAAACGGCACAGGACCGUCGGACCAACGGGAUUUCUUGCUCACCUCAAUUCGUUCUACGUUCUCACAAAGAGUCAUCAUGGAGGUCUGAGACACCCUGUAUAAUCAUAUAGUUUAGCAGUAAUAGUAUAUAGGUAGCAUUUUUAGUUAUAUAAUUGUAACGUCAGAUUUUCUAAUCUAUCAAAUUAAGUAGCAGAAAAAGAAUCGACGAGCAGUAAAUACUUGAAAUAAAAAAGAGGAGUUCUUAGAAGAAAAGGAAACUGUGAUCGAUGUUUUUCAACUUCAUGUAUCAAAGGUGAAUCAGGAUAUCUCAUGUCUACGUGUCGCGAAUUUACGAGAUAUGUUUAAUUUCAAAAUUUUAUUUUUUUGGGACAAUGCUAUCAAUCUUUACAAAUUUUUUUAUCAGGUAUAUAUUAAAAAUUAUAUAUUAAAAAUAAUGGCAGAGUUUUUUCUAGUAUUUUAAUGUUUUUAGUAUUUUAAUGUUUACAUGUAACAGAUAGAUAGGGUACCAUUAUUGAAUUUUAGGAACAAAGCGGAGAGCAGUCUUUUAAUUUUUGUACAUAAAAUGACAUAUUUUUUCUUAGAGAGAUAGAUAUUCCUCAUUAAUAUGCUUUUUUGGUUUUUAUAAAAAUCAUUUUUGAGCUUUAAUGUCAACAAAAUAGUUUGAAUUUAUAGAAUAACAUAUUGAAGACCUUAGCAAUAGCUAUGUUAUUAUGUUAGGGAGAUCUUCUUUUAUUUAAAUUUCUCCUCCGUUGUAAAUAGCAUCAACUAUUAUCUUUUGUUUUUCACAUUAUUUGUCCUCAUAUAUUUUUAUGUAUGACUUUGUAUCGCGAUGUUUAAGACAGAUUAACUUUUUUUUCAUGUUAUUUCAAUGUAGUCAUUUCAUUUUUGUAUUUUUCUGAUGGUUGAUGUUCUGAUUAUAUGACCAAUAUAAUGAACAGUUUUUUCUUUUUAUUGCCUAAUUUUUAUUAAGCUCUUUAUUUAAUUAUAUUUAACUUUCCUUCAUUUACUAAUACUUGUUAUCAGAUAUUAGCUUUUAAUUUAUUUAGCUUCUACCAAGUCCUACUAACGCGAUUGUUUCAACGGGAUUAAGUAAAUAUUAAAUAAAUGCAAAAUAGGUACAAUUGGUACCAGUUUGAUUUUGCUGAUUUGCUUUGGCUAAUUAAAAAAAAGAGAUUUUUAAAAACUCUGUAAAAAAAAGCUUUGGAACAUCUUAUAUGAUACGUCCUGUAUAUAAUGCCUAUAAUAUAGGCAAUAUAUUAAACAUUAAUGUGAUGUAUAGCCGCAUUUAUUCAACUUAGAGCUAUUCUUAACUUUGCUGAUAUAAGUUACAUAUGAAAUUAUCAUAUGAUAAUUAACAGAUUAGCUAUCUUCAGUGUCAUAUUGUGCCGCUUCUACGAAUAAUUGAUCAGUCAUGACAUAAAUAUUUCAAUAUAUUAUAUUGAAGUACUUUUUUGUCAUAACUGAUCAAUUAUUCGUAGAAGCGACGUAAUAUGACACUAAAGAUAGAUAAUCUGUUGUCAUGAUAGUUUCAUAUGUAACUUAUAUCAGUAAAGUUAAUCCUUAGUGACACUACAUGAGUAUUCCGGGUAGUCCGGACGGUUUCUAUUCAUAGAAAUUUCUCAGCAUGUUGAAGAGUCCCGGAUUUUUUACUUCCUAAAAAAUGCUAGGGGUAAGAGAAACUUGUGAGCGAAGGGGCGCCCAAAACCGUCAGUUCCUCUGCGACCAGCAUCGUAGUAAGUUUUCGUUCGGCUUCAAAAGACCCACGUAGGGUCAAAACGUGUCUUGUUUGUGAAAAAUGGAAAAUCUAUAAACAUUCAUAAAACAAUGGAAAAGUUACAGCGAGUUACAGCGUUACAUCGCGUUACGAAUAUAUGAGAAAGGCGAUAUUGAAUUGUUUGGCGUUUGGAUCAAGGAAUUAUCAACAGUAAUAUUCUGUAUAAUUUAUGUAAGGACAAUAUAAUGAUAAAGAGACAGGAAUUUAUGGAUAUCCUGAUAAUGUCUUUGAUAGCUCCGCAUAUGCACCACAGACUGCAGAAAGAAACAUUACGGAAAGGGUUGCGCUUGUCAAUAUGCGCAAAUCAAUAUACUGCAGAUUGAAGAACCAAAACCAGAGAUACGAGGAAAACUAGAAAAACGCAAAAGAUAUUAUUUCUACAAUAUGAGCACUGACAGCAAAACGUGGCAUGAUAGCGUGUCCUGCGGAAAGCCGGGGUGAAGAUCAUUGGAAUUAUACAUAUAUAUAUAUAUAUAUAUAUAUAUAUAUAUAUAUAUAUAUAUAUAUAUAUAUAUAUACCUUCUGUAUAAAAAGUACCGGGAAUCGUUAAAAAAAACACAGAAUAUUUUAUUUAUUCAUCAAAAUUUAUUUUGUCGCCUUCAAAGUAAUCCCCAUCGUUUGCAAUGCACAUGUGAAAACGGCGAAACCAAUCUUCCAUGCACUUCUGGUAGGCCGAUUCUGGUAUGGCCUUCAGGACCCGCUGCGAAUUCCUUUUGAUGUCAUCAAUCGAUGAAAAACGAGUACCACGGAGUGGCAAUUUCAGUUUCGGGAAAAGAAAGAAGUCGCACGGUGCCAAAUCAGGCGAAUACGGUGGAUGGUCGACAGAAUUGACCGAGUUUUUGGCCUUGUAAUCGGCCACAAUCGUGGCUCUGUGCGCUGGCGCAUUGUCAUCGUGUAAAAUCCACGAAUUGUCUCGCCACAAUUCGGGCCUUUUUCGCCGGAUAUCAGUGCGUCGGCACACGAAAUUUCGUUUGCAACACAAAAUUUGAGGCACACUCUUUGUUCGACUAUUUUUUCCAUGGUAAAAUUCGCAGAGCAACACUGAGGUAGACUUGUUUGGACAGCUGCCAUAAACAAACUAGUUGACUGAUCGAGCUCAAGCUCCGGUUGGUAAUGAAGGAAGGUAGUGCCAAUCUAAAAAAAAAAACUUUUUACCGCUACCUCUUCCGCGGUUCAUUUAAAUGACAAUUUCCCGGUACUUUUUAUACUGUAUAUUAUAUAUAAUAAUCAUCAGAAUAAAUGAUACCUCAUAAAUGAAGUAAGAUAACUGUAGUUGAAUUUAACGCACUCAAUCUUAUAGUUGUGUGAUGAAUUAGUUCUUUCGGUAAAACUUUGAUGUUCACUUAAUCUUUUUUAUUGGUUAUAUUUAAUAUUUUUUAUUAGUCAUUCUCUUUUAAUCUCUGUUAUUAUCGUCGUAUAUUUAUUGUCUGAUUUAUUUACUCUCAUCAGAGAUAGAAUUAGUCAUAUUAUGCAAUUACUUUAUAUUUAUAUGGUACAUUUAUAUGUGCUGUAUGUUUGACGCGUACAUCUUGCGAUUUAAAAAUUAUCUAUUAUUGUAUUAGAAUCCCGCCUAUAAUAUUUGAAAAUUCUCAAAGUUGAAUGUCUCUUACGCAGUAAUAGUAUAAUUAAUAAUAAUAAUAAAUAGUAUAAUUACUACGCAAACACGAAGUUCGUCAGUAAUGACUCUUAAUUUUAACAGUUUAAUGAAUUCCCAAUUUCAUUGUGUUUUAAAUAGUUUUGUAAGCAUGUAUAUAUAUAUAUAUAUAUAUAUAUAUAUAUAUAUAUAUAUAUAUAUAUAUAUAUAUAUAUACUCUCUAAAUUUCUUGGAGUGAAAAUCUCGCUCAAAAAAUAGAGUAACAACCGAGUCACUCAAAUUAGAGUGACUUCUCACUCUGUAUCGUGGAAUGAAAACUUUCACUCGUGGAGCGAAUUUUCGCUCGACAAAUGGGAUGACGGCCCUCACUCGAGUUAAAGUGACUUCACUCAUGUGGAGUGAAUUUUCAGUCGUAGAACAGUGAAUGAUUCGGAAACAGUUCAUAUAUCAUUAUAGUAUCGUAAAAAUUUACUUUACUUGGAGUGAAAUAUUCACUUUAUUUGGAAUGAAAUAUUCACUUUUAUGAAAAGUGAAAUGUCACUCCAUUCAGAGUAAGCAGCAUUUUCACUAUUGCUUGGAGUGAAUAUUUACUUCUUUUGAGUGAAACUUCACUGCAAGAAAUUUAGAGAGUAAGAUUGAAAAAAUACAACUAGACCCCUAUUAUCCUUUAUAUAACACAUAAGACUAGAUAGACUAGAUAAUACUUCUGUUAUUCUUCAAUAUGUAAUUUGAUUUCAAUCUAAGAGCCAUACAAUCGCUUUCUACACGCAAAAAAUGAUUCAGUUAGCAUUAUUGAAUUUCAGUUACGACAACCGAAAUUUUCGGUUCUUCAGGAAUCAACUGAAAAAUCGGUUGCUACAAAAAAGAAAUUCUGUUGAAAAGUUUCUGUUGUGCCAAACAUAUAUUCGAUCAUCCCAAUCGAAUUGAAAUGUUGUGAAAGAUAUAAGUUUCGUUUGUCCUAACCUAUACUUCAGUUCAUAUUGAUGGAUGUUUCAGCUAUAUUAGGAAUAGAUUAAUAUUUAACAAAACAUACUUAUAUAUUCAUAAUUUUCUCAUGUCUUAUAAAGCCACUACGUAUUGAAGGUUGUCAAAAACACACUCCAAACUUUCGUGAAUCAUCCCGUGAUAAUUUCGAUCCCACGCGGUAUACUCACCGGGCCACAUCCAUGUCAGACUUCGUUAAGAUGUUGCUUAACCUGACGAUCGAGCGGCACGCGGCGAUUCCCGAUGACUCCAACGAUAUUCUUACGACUUAUGC